AGAUGCAGCGUGUUUCGAAAAAGGUUUUAGUAUAUCAUAUGUUGGUGAUUACUUAUCGUGUAAGAAAAUAUGGACAGACAGAAGUCGCUAGUUUGAGGUA